rnacentral:rRNA from 1 species
AACGCGAAGAACCUUACCUGGUCUUGACAUGUCAGGAACCCUAUAGAGAUAUGGGGGUGCCUUCGGGAACCUGAACACAGGUGCUGCAUGGCUGUCGUCAGCUCGUGUCGUGAGAUGUUGGGUUAAGUCCCGCAACGAGCGCAACCCUUGUCCUUAGUUGCCAUACCGAAAGGUGGAACUCGCAGGAGACCGCCAGGGAUAACCUGGAGGAAGGUGGGGAUGACGUCAAGUCCUCAUGGCCUUUAUGUCCAGGGCUACACACGUGCUACAAUGGACGGUACAAAGGGCUGCCAACCCGCGAGGGGGAGCCAAUCCCAAAAAACCGUUCUCAGUUCGGAUUGCAGGCUGCAACUCGCCUGCAUGAAGCUGGAAUCGCUAGUAAUGGCGGAUCAGAACGCCGCCGUGAAUACGUUCCCGGGCCUUGUACACACCGCUAGUC